CUACGGAGGCUGCAGUGGGGAAUAUUGGACAAUGGGGGCAACCCUGAUCCAGCCAUGCCGCGUGUGUGAAGAAGGCCCUCGGGUUGUAAAGCACUUUCAGUGAGGAAGAACGCCUGGUGGUUAAUACCCAUCAGGAAAGACAUCACUCACAGAAGAAGCACCGGCUAACUCCGUGCCAGCAGCCGCGGUAAUACGGAGGGUGCGAGCGUUAAUCGGAAUUACUGGGCGUAAAGCGCGCGUAGGUGGCUUGAUAAGCCGGUUGUGAAAGCCCCGGGCUCAACCUGGGAACGGCAUCCGGAACUGUCAAGCUAGAGUGCAGGAGAGGAAGGUAGAAUUCCCGGUGUAGCGGUGAAAUGCGUAGAGAUCGGGAGGAAUACCAGUGGCGAAGGCGGCCUUCUGGACUGACACUGACACUGAGGUGCGAAAGCGUGGGUAGCAAACAGGAUUAGAUACCCGUGUAGUC
rnacentral:rRNA from 1 species